rnacentral:rRNA from 1 species
UACGUAGGGUGCGAGCGUUGUCCGGAAUUAUUGGGCGUAAAGAGCUCGUAGGCGGUUUGUCGCGUCGACUGUGAAAACCCGAGGCUUAACCCCGGGCCUGCAGUGGGUACGGGCAGACUAGAGUGCGGUAGGGGAGACUGGAAUUCCUGGUGUAGCGGUGAAAUGCGCAGAUAUCAGGAGGAACACCGGUGGCGAAGGCGGUUCUCUGGGCCUUACCUGACGCUGAGGAGCGAAAGCGUGGGGAGCAAACAGG